GCCUCCGUAGCUCAGCUGGAUAGAGCACCGGUUUCCUAAACUGGGGGUCGCAGGUUCAAGUCCUGCCGGGGGCA
rnacentral:tRNA from 1 species